rnacentral:rRNA from 1 species
UACGGAGGGUGCAAGCGUUAUCCGGAUUCACUGGGUUUAAAGGGUGCGUAGGAGGGCAGGUAAGUCAGUGGUGAAAUCCUAGAGCUUAACUCUAGAACUGCCGUUGAUACUAUCUGUCUUGAAUCCCGUGGAGGUGAGCGGAAUAUGUCAUGUAGCGGUGAAAUGCUUAGAUAUGACAUAGAACACCAAUUGCGAAGGCAGCUCGCUACACGAAGAUUGACUCUGAGGCACGAAAGCGUGGGGAUCAAACAGG